UAUAUAUAUAUAUAUAUAUAUAUAUAUAUAUAUAUAUAUAUAUAUAUGUGUAUAUACCCAAGCAGAGGGGCACUCCCUAGAGCCUGGUCUGCUUGAGGUUUCUUCCUAAGAGGGUGUUUUUCCUCACCACAGUUGCCUAAUGCUUGCUCUGGGGGUCGGUAAGGUUAGUCCUUAUUUGAGUAAAGUGACUUG